rnacentral:rRNA from 1 species
UGGCUCAGAACGAACGCUGGCGGCAGGCUUAACACAUGCAAGUCGAGCGCCCCGCAAGGGGAGCGGCGCACGGGUGAGUAAUACUUGGGAACGUGCCUCUCAGUCGGGAAUAACAGCGGGAAACUGCUGCUAAAACCCGAUACACCCUCCGGGGGAAAGUUUACGCUGAAAGAUCGGCCCAAGCCAGAUUAGCUAGUUGGUGGGGUAAUGGCGUACCAAGGCUACGAUCUGUAGCUGGUCUGAGAGGACGACCAGCCACACUGGAACUGAGGCACGGUCCAGACUCUUACGGGAGGCAGC